GAGAGAAAGAGAGCAUGCUGGGCAGCCAGGCAGUUGUCAGCUGUCCUUGCAGUGGUGAGUAGUAUCCCGUAGCAGGAAAGGAAGCAGAGAGCUUUCUUGGCAUUAAGCUAGGAGCCUUUCAAGAAUAAAAAUGUAGUUUCAGGUGAAUCAAUAUGGACUUUUAUUUAGAUAAAAUUUACAAUCAACCUUAUUUGUUUCCCUGGUGUUCAGUAAUUAAGUAGAAAAGUUUAGAAGAAUAGACUUCCUAAAACCUGGUGGUGUGUUGUCACUCAGAGUGCAAGGCAAAAUGCACUUUUUUCUAGCCGUGAAAAACCUCUUGUCAGGAAAAGAGCCUGUGUGCCAGCCAGAUAAUAUUAAUUGUCCUGGACAUGGCACGGGUCAAGGGCAAAAAGUGGUAGUCAGCCUAACAAGGCGGGAUGUUGUAAAGAGAUACUGUCUGUAAAGAAACAUGGCUUUGUGGCCUCAAAUGUCUCAUUUUCUCCUGUUCAGGAAAUUUCUGAUGGUAAAGACAUUUUGAAUUAGAGUAUGAUUUAUGGAGAAGUGAUUUAGAAGCAAAAUGGGGAAGGACCAUCCUGCAAGAGACAUCUCACAGCAUAUUUGCAAAACUGGUUUAGUAUUAUGAAGAAAUGUGUUAUUUGACCAGAUUUGCUGCGAUUUCUUGUCAUCCCAUUGCCAUUUUUGUCUUUUCCAGUCCUCCUUCUCUGGGAUAGUCCCAUGUGAAUUGAUUACCUGGUGAAGAAUAGCUGUCUCUCCCUCAGUGGCUUUAUACCUAGUGUUCGAUACUUACUAUGAAAUCUGACUUGGGAGCAGGAAUGAAGUCAACUUCUGUCAGAUGCUGGAGGCCACCAAAGUUGCCAAAUUUUUCAUGUUUCCUCCACUUUGCUCGCUGAUUCUGGAACCAGAUCUGGAUAGAUUUUUGCAAAAAAAUCAGUGUUUGGCUGACAGGUUGUCCUGUUUACCCUUUAAGUACUGAUGCAACAUUAUAUUUCUUCAAGGCCCUUGGAAUGCCCCUUGUGCUCCAGGACUGAUUUAAUAUCAACACUGAUGAUCCAAAGUGCUUCUCAAGCAGCUUCUUAAGAACUACUGGAGGGUAGAAGACUGGUUCUACAAAUCUGGGAGAAGCUGCAGUCUGUCUCAAGCAUUUCCAGAAUGAAGCAAGAAAUCCAAGCUCAAACUGUGACCAAGCUCCUUGUACCUGUGGUCCCAAGUGUACAAAAACAUCUGGGAUGCUGGCAGAGUUCUUGUCCUGCCAGUUUUUGUAUGCCCAGGCAAUCUGUGCACCUUCUAGCAAUCAGAAAACCUUUGAAAGAAAGAGAACAAACCUGGCUACAUCCUGAGGUGUUUCUGAAUGAGAAAAAACUUACACCCCCCCCUGCCCCAUAUUAGAUUAAUGAACUGGAUUAUAAUUUCAUGACUGUGCAAAGCAAGAAGGAAACUGUCUAUAUUUUAAAACAUAA